ensembl:processed_transcript
GGGGACUUGAAGCACAGGGUGGGCUUGGUAAUGACCUGCCAGUGGGAGCCUAUCGAGCUGGGUGGAGAGAUUGUGAAGUUCUGAGUCAGAGUCUCCAUAAGAUAAAACAGGUCGACCAUUGCCUGACCAGGCCGCUGGGGAAAGUUACUGGCACAAGUGUGGGAACAUGUCAGUUCCUUUUUAAUAUUUCCCACAACAAAUAUAUAUCCUGAUUACAGUUUCCCCUCCCGCUACCCCUUCCCUGUUCCUCUCCCAGAAUUUCAGGGUUCAGACUACAAAUCACUUCUGUGUGACUGAGGGAAGAAGAGUCAGAAUAAAGAGAAACAUACUCUCUUCCAAAGAUUAACGACAGAAGGAGCUCUAGAAUUUCACAAAGGUACUGUCAGGACACAUGAAAAUCUGGAGAAAAAGACAGGCUUGAAGAGACCAAAAAGAAGAAAGCCUGCCAAUCACAUCUCCAGAGAUUCUGAGACACACACACCCCCACCCCUGGUGUAGGGGGAACAUCAUCUGAAAGGUGACACCUACUCUAAGGAACAGAAGUACCAGCUAAGGAGGACACACACUUGAAGAAAAAGUAGACAAUGAGGUCUUGUGAAUGCUCUAAUUUUUCAAAGGUUACUUUUAAUGAUGGUUCUUAAACACUUUAACCUCCCUUCUAGCCCACUACCUACCAGAGGUAGUGGAAAAGAAAGGUGAUUAGGAUAC